UGAACUGGAACAACCUCCAGGUAUUGAUGCAGAGUGAAAGGAUCAGAACCAGGAGAACAUUGUACAGAGAGGCUGAUACACUGUGACAUAAUCGAAUAUAAUGGACUUCUCUACUGGCAUUGAUGGUGUUAUUAUUGAUAUAGAAAAGUCUCUGAAAAAUAAUCAAAAGCAAUGAGAAAGGUAAGUAAUAUAUUUACCAUCUAAAUGCCAUUGAAGCUACAAAAAGAGCUUUUAAAAUAUUAUAACCAAAUGA
rnacentral:lncRNA from 1 species